rnacentral:rRNA from 1 species
AGUCGAACGCGAAAACUUCCUUCGGGAGGUGAAGUAGAGUGGCGCACGGGUGAGUAACACGUAGGUAAUCUGCCUUUGGGUGGGGAAUAACAGCCGGAAACGGCUGCUAAUACCGCAUAAUGCAGCGGCAUCACAUGAUGACAGUUGUUAAAGCGGGGGAUUCAGCAAUGAACCUCGCGCCUGAAGAGGAGCCUGCGGCAGAUUAGCUAGUUGGUGAGGUAAAGGCUCACCAAGGCUUCGAUCUGUAGCCGGCCUGAGAGGGCGGUCGGCCACACUGACACUGACAUACGGGUCAGACUCCUACGGGAGGCAGCAGUCGGGAAUUUUGGGCAAUGGGCGAAAGCCUGACCCAGCAACGCCGCGUGAAGGAUGAAAUCCCUCGGGAUGUAAACUUCGCAAGAAUAGGAAGAAUAAGGAGGGGUCAAUACCCCCUUUGAUGACGGUACUAUUUGUAAGCUCCGGCUAACUCCGUGCCAGCAGCCGCGGUAAUACGGGGGGAGCAAGCGUUGUUCGGAUUUACUGGGCGUAAAGGGCGCGUAGGCGGCCACAACAAGUCACUUGUGAAAUCUCCGGGCUUAACCCGGUAGCGGCCAAGUGAUACUGUUGGGCUAAAGUGCGGAAGGGGCAACUGGAAUUCUCGGUGUAGCGGUGAAAUGCGUAGAUAUCGAGAGGA